UACGUAGGUGGCAAGCGUUGUCCGGAUUUACUGGGCGUAAAGAGCGCGCAGGCGGUCGGCCAAGUCGAGUGUGAAAGCCCCCGGCUCAACUGGGGAGGGUCAUUCGAUACUGGUCGACUCGAAGGCAGGAGAGGGAAGCGGAAUUCCCGGUGUAGUGGUGAAAUGCGUAGAUAUCGGGGAGGAACACCAGUGGCGAAGGCGGCUUCCUGGCCUGUUCUUGACGCUGAGGCGCGAAAAGCUAGGGGAGCAAACGGGG
rnacentral:rRNA from 1 species